rnacentral:misc_RNA from 1 species
UUAUAAAUUAGGCUGCUAUGCC